AUGGAUUUUUGAGAAAAACCCUAGUCUGCCCGUGCUUCUGUUCAUCGCUCGCCACGGCGAGUGAUGAUCCUCGCCUCGCGAGUGAUGAUCUUCAUCGCUCGCCACGCGAGCCCUUCCUUUUCGCCUCGCGAGUUGUUUGGUUCAACUCGCCAUGGCGAGCAACCCCUCCUCGCCUCGCGAGCUUAGGCAGAGUGCAUGUCAUAUUUUGUGUUUCGACCU
rnacentral:lncRNA from 1 species